UACGGGGGGGGCAAGCGUUGUUCGGAAUUACUGGGCGUAAAGGGCUCGUAGGCGGCCAACUAAGUCGGACGUGAAAUCCCCAGGCUCAACCUGGGAACUGCGUCCGAUACUGGAUGGCUUGAAUCCGGGAGAGGGAUGCAGAAUUCCAGGUGUAGCGGUGAAAUGCGUAGAUAUCUGGAGGAACACCUAUGGCGAAGGCAGCUCGCUGGGACGUUACUGACGCUGAGACGCGAAAGCGUGGGGAGCAAACAGG
rnacentral:rRNA from 1 species